ACUCAAAUGAAUUGACGGGGACCCGCACAAGCGGUGGAGCGUGUGGUUUAAUUCGAGGCUACGCGAAGAACCUUACCAAGGCUUGACAUCCUGGUCGCACGUCUAAGAAAUUAGAUGGUCAUUUAGUUGGACCAGUGACAGGUGAUGCAUGGCCGUCGUCAGCUCGUGUCGUGAGAUGUUAGGUUAAGUCCUUCAACGAGCGCAACCCUCGUGGUUAGUUGUAUUUUUCUAACCAGACUGCCUCGGCAACGGGGAGGAAGGAGGGGAUGACGUCAGGUCCGUAUUUCCCUUACGUCUUGGGCUACACACACGCUACAAUGGCCGGUACAAUGGGCUGCUAAGUCGCAAGGCGGAGCUAAUCCCACCAAAACCGGUCCCAGUUCGGAUUAUAGGCUGAAACUCGCCUGUAUGAAGUUGGAAUCGCUAGUAACCGUAGGUCAGCACACUACGGUGAAUACGUUCCCGGGUCUUGCACACACCGCCCGU
rnacentral:rRNA from 1 species